GGGUGAACGCUAGCUACAGGCUUAACACAUGCAAGUCGAGGGGCAGCACAGUGUAGCAAUACAGUGGGUGGCGACCGGCGCACGGGUGCGUAACGCGUAUCCAACCUUCCCGUUACUCUUGGAUAGCCUUCCGAAAGGGAGAUUAAUACCCUGAUGGUGUUUGAAUUCCGCAUGUUAUUCAAACUAAAGAUUUAUCGGUAACGGAUGGGGAUGCGUGACAUUAGGUAGAUGGCGGGGUAACGGCCCACCAUGCCUACGAUGUCUAGGGGUUCUGAGAGGAAGGUCCCCCACACUGGGACUGAGAUACGGCCCAGACUCCUACGGGAGGCAGCAGUGGGGAAUAUUGGGCAAUGGGCGAAAGCCUGACCCAGCAACGCCGCGUGAAGGAAGAAGGCCUUCGGGUUGUAAACUUCUUUUACCAGGGACGAACACAAUGACGGUACCUGGAGAAAAAGCAACGGCUAACUACGUG
rnacentral:rRNA from 1 species